rnacentral:rRNA from 1 species
UAAGACGAACCGUGCGAACGUUAUUCGGAAUCACUGGGCUUAAAGCGCGUGUAGGCGGGCGGGUGCGUCGGCCGCUGAAAGCCCCCGGCUCAACCGGGGAAGCGGCGCCGAUACGGCCGGCCUGGAGGGGGGUAGGGGGACCUGGAACUUCCGGUGGAGCGGUGAAAUGCGUUGAGAUCGGAAGGAACGCCCGUGGCGAAAGCGAGGUCCUGGACCCUUUCUGACGCUGAGACGCGAAAGCCAGGGGAGCGAACGGGA